CUGAAAUCAAGUGUGACGACCCCCUGAAUUUAA
rnacentral:rRNA from 1 species